AGAUUUAGUGAGAGCUGCACUGAAGGGGCAACGGCGAGCGCUUAGAGUUAGAGCUGCGUUGAAGGGGCAACACAGAGCGUUGAGAGUCAGGGCUGCUGUGAAGCGGAAACAGUGGUGAGAGUUAGAGCUGUUGUGAAGGGGCAACACACAGCGCUGAGAGUUAGAGCUGCUGUGAAGGGGCAACAGAGCUCGCUGAGAGUUAGAGCUGCUGUGAAGGGGCAACUGAGAGCACUGAGAGUUAAAGCCGCUGUGAAGGGGCAACAGAGAGCGUAGAGAGUCAGGGCUGCUGUGAAGCGGAAACAGAGAUUGGUGAGAGUUAGAGCUGCUGUGAAGGGGAAACAGAGAGUGGUGAGAGUUACAGCUGUUGUGAAGGGGCAACACACAGCGCUGAGAUUUAGAGCUGCUGUGAAGGGGCAACACAGAUCGCUGAGAUUUAGUCGGAGCUCCUCUGAAGGGGCAACAGAGCGCUCUGAGAGUUAGAGCUGCUGUGAAGGGGCCACAGAAAGCGCUGAGAUUUAGUGCUACUCUGAAGGGCAACAGAGCGCGCUGAGAGUUAGAGCUGCUGUGAAGGGGCAACAGAGCGUGCUGAGAGAGUUUCUGUGAAGGGGCAACACAGCGCGCUGAGAUUUAGUCAGAGCUGCACUGAAGGGGCAACAGCGAGCGCUGAGAGUUAGAGCUGCGUUAAAGGGGCAACAGAGCUCGCUGAGGUUUACAGCUGCUGUGAAGGGGCAACUGAGAGCGCUUAGAAUUAGAGCUGCUCUCGAUGAGCAAACAGAGCGGUGAGAGUUAGAGCUCCUGUGAAGGGGCAAUAGAGAGCGCUGAGAGUUAAUGCUGCCUUGGGGAAACAGAGAGCACUGAGAUUUAGUCAGAGCUGCUCUGAAGGGCAACAGAGAGCGGUGAGAGUUAGAGCUGCGUUAAAGUGGGAACAGAGUGCUGUGAGUUAUAGAGCUGCAUUGAAGGGGCAACUGAGAGCGCUUAGAGUUAGAGCUGCUGUGAAGAAGCAAACAGAGCGCUGAGAGAUAGAGCUGCUGUGGAGGGGAAACAGACAGCGCUGAGAUUUAGUCAGAGCUACAAUGAAGGGUCAACAGAGCGCUGAGAGUUAUAGCUGCUAUGAAUGGGCAACAGUGAGCGCUGAGUUACAGCUGUGUUGAUGGGCAACCCAGAGCGUUGAGAGUGAGGGCUGCUGUGAAGCGGAAACAGAGUGGUGAGAGUUAGAGCUGCUGUGAAAGGGAAACAGAAUGGUGAGAGUUCCAGCUGUUGUGAAGGGGCAACACAUAGCGCUGAGAGUUAGAGCUGCUGGGAAGGGGCAACACAGAGCGCUGAGAUUUAGUCAGAGCUGCUCUGAAGAGGCAACAGCGAGCGCUGAGCGUUAGAGCUGCGUUGUAGGGGCAAGAGAGAGCGAUGAGGUUUACAGCUGCUGUGAGGGGCAACUGAGAGCGCUUAGAAUUAGAGCUGCUCUCAAGUAGCAAACAGAGCGGUUAGAGUUAGAGCUCCUCUGAAGGGGCAACAGAGCGCUCUGAGAGUUAGAGCUGCUGUGAAGGGGCCACAGAAAGCGCUGUGAUUUAGUCAGUGCUACUCUGAAGCGCAACAGAGCGCGCUGAGAGUUAGAGCUGCUGUGAAGGGGCAACACAGCGCACUGAGAUUUAGUGAGAGCUGCACUGAAGGGGCAACAGCGAGCGCUGAGCGUUAGAGCUGCGUUGAAGGGGCAACAGAGCUCACUGAGGUUUACAGCUGCUGUGAAGGGGCAACUGAGAGCGCUUAGAAUUAGAGCUGCUCUCAAGUAGCAAACAGCGGUGAGAGUUAGAGCUCCUGUGAAGGGGCAAUAGAGAGCGCUGAGAGUUAAAGCUGCCUUGGGGAAACAGAGAGCGCUGAGAUUUAGUCAGAGCUGCUCUGAAGGGCAACAGAGAGCGCUGAAGGAGCUUCUGUGAAGGGGCAACACAGAGCGCUAAGAUUUAGUGAGAGCUGCACUGAAGGGGCAACGGCGAGCGCUUAGAGUUAGAGCUGCGUUGAAGGGGCAACACAGAGCGUUGAGAGUCAGGGCUGCUGUGAAGCGGAAACAGUGGUGAGAGUUAGAGCUGUUGUGAAGGGGCAACACACAGCGCUGAGAGUUAGAGCUGCUGUGAAGGGGCAACAGAGCUCGCUGAGGUUCAGAGCUGCUGUGAAGGGGCAACUGAGAGCGCUUAGAAUUAGAGCUGCUGUGAAGAAGCAAACAGAGCGCUGAGAGAUAGAGGUGCUGUGGAGGGGAAACAGAGCGCGCUGAGAUUCAGUCAGAGCUGCUCUGAAGGGCAACAGAGAGCGCUGAUAGUUAGAGCUGCAUUAAAGGGGCAACAAAGAGUGCUGUGAGUUAGAGCUGCUGUGAAGGGGCAACAGAGCUCGCUGAGAGUUAGAGCUGCUGUGAAGGGGCAACUGAGAGCACUGAGAGUUAAAGCCGCUGUGAAGGGGCAACAGAGAGCGUAGAGAGUCAGGGCUGCUGUGAAGCGGAAACAGAGAUUGGUGAGAGUUAGAGCUGCUGUGAAGGGGAAACAGAGAGUGGUGAGAGUUACAGCUGUUGUGAAGGGGCAACACACAGCGCUGAGAUUUAGAGCUGCUGUGAAGGGGCAACACAGAUCGCUGAGAUUUAGUCGGAGCUCCUCUGAAGGGGCAACAGAGCGCUCUGAGAGUUAGAGCUGCUGUGAAGGGGCCACAGAAAGCGCUGAGAUUUAGUGCUACUCUGAAGGGCAACAGAGCGCGCUGAGAGUUAGAGCUGCUGUGAAGGGGCAACAGAGCGUGCUGAGAGAGUUUCUGUGAAGGGGCAACACAGCGCGCUGAGAUUUAGUCAGAGCUGCACUGAAGGGGCAACAGCGAGCGCUGAGAGUUAGAGCUGCGUUAAAGGGGCAACAGAGCUCGCUGAGGUUUACAGCUGCUGUGAAGGGGCAACUGAGAGCGCUUAGAAUUAGAGCUGCUCUCGAUGAGCAAACAGAGCGGUGAGAGUUAGAGCUCCUGUGAAGGGGCAAUAGAGAGCGCUGAGAGUUAAUGCUGCCUUGGGGAAACAGAGAGCACUGAGAUUUAGUCAGAGCUGCUCUGAAGGGCAACAGAGAGCGGUGAGAGUUAGAGCUGCGUUAAAGUGGGAACAGAGUGCUGUGAGUUAUAGAGCUGCAUUGAAGGGGCAACUGAGAGCGCUUAGAGUUAGAGCUGCUGUGAAGAAGCAAACAGAGCGCUGAGAGAUAGAGCUGCUGUGGAGGGGAAACAGACAGCGCUGAGAUUUAGUCAGAGCUACAAUGAAGGGUCAACAGAGCGCUGAGAGUUAUAGCUGCUAUGAAUGGGCAACAGUGAGCGCUGAGUUACAGCUGUGUUGAUGGGCAACCCAGAGCGUUGAGAGUGAGGGCUGCUGUGAAGCGGAAACAGAGUGGUGAGAGUUAGAGCUGCUGUGAAAGGGAAACAGAAUGGUGAGAGUUCCAGC